rnacentral:rRNA from 1 species
UGGGGAAUCUUCCACAAUGGGCGAAAGCCUGAUGGAGCAACGCCGCGUGAGUGAUGAAGGCCUUCGGGUUGUAAACUCUUUCGUGCGAGAAUAAAGCUGCAGGGUGAAUAAUCCUGCAGUCUGACUGUAUCGCAGGAAGAAGACACGGCUAACUCUGUGCCAGCAGCCGCGGUAAUACAGAGGUGUCUAGCGUUGUCCGGAAUUACUGGGCGUAAAGGGCGUGUAGGUGGGCGAGUAAGUCGGAUGUGAAAUCGCUGGGCUUAACCCAGCAACUGCAUCCUAAACUACCCGUCUUGAGUGCAGAAGAGGAGAGUGGAAUUCCCAGUGUAGCGGUGAAAUGCGUAGAUAUUGGGAAGAACACCAGUGGCGAAGGCGGCUCUCUGGUCUGCAACUGACACUGAAACGCGAAAGCUAGGGGAGCAAACGG